GGGAGAGGAGGGAGAGUAGAAACGUGUAAUCACCCAAACAACCGUUUUUACCCGUUUCACCCCCUCUGGAUCUGUGUCGCAAGUCACCGUGAGGCUGUCUGUCUUUCACUGCGGAUACCGUGGAGGGAGGCCGGAGCGUGAAGAAGACACCAAAGAGUCUAGACAUAACAGCAAACCUGGCAGAACCAGAGAGAAGACCGAUGGCGGUUGCUAAGGAGUGGCUGGCACGAGUCGCCAAGCCAGGGUCUGUGGUCUAACGGAAGGAACAUGGAGGUGAAGACAGCUGAGGUGCUGGGCAUCGGCUUUGGUGUUUGGUGUUUUGA